CGGGUGAGUAACACGUGGGUAACCUGCCCGGAAGUGGGGAAUACCUCGGGGAAACUCGAGCUAAUACCGCAUGACAUCUUCGGGACGAAAGUCCUGACGAUCAAAGCGGGGCCGCAAGGCCUCGCGCUCCCGGAUGGGCCCGCGCCCGAUUAGCUAGUUGGUGAGGUAACGGCUCACCAAGGCUUCGAUCGGUAACCGGCCUGAGAGGGCGAUCGGUCACACCGGAACUGAGACACGGUCCGGACUCCUACGGGAGGCAGCAGUGGGGAAUCUUGCGCAAUGGGCGAAAGCCUGACGCAGCAACGCCGCGUGGAGGAUGAAGGCCCUUGGGUUGUAAACUCCUGUCGGCUGGGAAGAAAUCGGCGGGUGCGAAUACCACUCGCCGUUGACUGUACCAGCAAAGGAAGCCCCGGCUAACUCUGUGCCAGCAGCCGCGGUAAUACAGAGGGGGCCAGCGUUAUUCGGAAUUAUUGGGCGUAAAGGGCGCGUAGGCGGCCACGCGUGUCUCCCGUGAAAUCCCUCGGCUUAACUGAGGACGUGCGGGAGAAACUGCGAGCUUCGAGUCCGGGAGAGGGGGGUGGAAUUCCCAGUGUAGCGGUGAAAUGCGUAGAUAUUGGGAGGAAC
rnacentral:rRNA from 1 species